GUUUUGUCUUGAAAACAGGAGGUGACACUGCUUUUUGAGAUGCUAGAUUAAUAACGUGAGCAAAGCAUCCUAUUUGUGGCCUCAAUCCAGCUAGUGCAACUGUAUUUACAAUAUUUCUAGCCUUGUCAGUGGUCACAGGAAUCACUACAUUAUCCCUCUCCAACUGCCACACUGCAACUACUUCCCUUAGCUCUUCCCCCAAGUUUUCACUGGUGUGACUACUCUCAAGAGGACGUGUUUGAAGGACAUGGCUGUUUAUCUCUCACUCUGCCAUAAUGAAAUUAGCCGUUACAGUAAGGUAGCUCCAGACGUCCAAUUGUCUGUUGUUAGAGCAACAGACAGCGUUUCUGACAACUCUCUCUCAAGUUGUUUUAUUUGUUUGUAUAAGGCAGGUAUUCAUGUCUGGGCAAAAUGUGUACGGGGAAGGAAGAGUGAAGCGCGGCUCGACCAAUUUAAACAUGUUUCUGAACCCUGCGUUCUCUACCACAGAGAAGGGUCUCAUAUCUGCCGCUAUGAAUUUUGCUUGAUUUCUUUAGCCCUACCGGACGCAUAUUGUUGCCAGAGGCUGUGUGGGAAGAAGUGGUUGCCGUUUAAUUUUUUCACCUAGUCCCACCGAUUGGCAUUUCGGGGUGAUGUCGGCCCAAAUGAGUAGUCAUGUUACUCGUAUUGCCACUCUAAUAUGCUAUCAGUAAUGAACAGAGCCUACAUGUUGUAGAAGUUUUAUCCACCACUCUAAUAUGCUAUCAGUAGUGAACAGAGCCUACAUGUUGUAGAGGUUUUAUCCACCACUCUAAUAUGCUAUCAGUAAUGAACAGAGCCUACAUGUUGUAGAGGUUUUAUCCACCACUCUAAUAUGCUAUCAGUAAUGAACAGAGCCUACAUGUUGUAGAGGUUUUAUCCACCACUCUAAUAUGCUAUCAGUAAUGAACAGAGCCUACAUGUUGUAGAGGUUUUAUCCACCACUCUAAUAUGCUAUCAGUAAUGAACAGAGCCUACAUGUUGUAGAGGUUUUAUCCACCACUCUAAUAUGCUAUCAGUAAUGAACAGAGCCUACAUGUUGUAGAGGUUUUAUCCACCACUCUAAUAUGCUAUCAGUAAUGAACAGAGCCUACAUGUUGUAGAGGUUUUAUCCACCACUCUAAUAUGCUAUCAGUAAUGAACAGAGCCUACAUGUUGUAGAGGUUUUAUCCACCACUCUAAUAUGCUAUCAGUAAUGAACAGAGCCUACAUGUUGUAGAGGUUUUAUCCACCACUCUAAUAUGCUAUCAGUAAUGAACAGAGCCUACAUGUUGUAGAGGUUUUAUCCACCACUCUAAUAUGCUAUCAGUAAUGAACAGAGCCUACAUGUUGUAGAGGUUUUAUCCACCACUCUAAUAUGCUAUCAGUAAUGAACAGAGCCUACAUGUUGUAGAGGUUUUAUCCACCACUCUAAUAUGCUAUCAGUAAUGAACAGAGCCUACAUGUUGUAGAGGUUUUAUCCACCACUCUAAUAUGCUAUCAGUAAUGAACAGAGCCUACAUGUUGUAGAGGUUUUAUCCACCACUCUAAUAUGCUAUCAGUAAUGAACAGAGCCUACAUGUUGUAGAGGUUUUAUCCACCACUCUAAUAUGCUAUCAGUAAUGAACAGAGCCUACAUGUUGUAGAAGUUUUAUCCACCACUCUAAUAUGCUAUCAGUAAUGAACAGAGCCUACAUGUUGUAGAGGUUUUAUCCACCACUCUAAUAUGCUAUCAGUAAUGAACAGAGCCUACAUGUUGCAGAAGUUUUAUCCACCACUCUAAUAUGCUAUCAGUAAUGAACAGAGCCUACAUGUUGCAGAGGUUUUAUCCACCACUCUAAUAUGCUAUCAGUAAUGAACAGAGCCUACAUUUGGAGAAGUUUUAUCCACCACUCUAAUAUGCUAUCAGUAAUGAACAGAGCCUACAUGUUGCAGAGGUUUUAUCCACCACUCUAAUAUGCUAUCAGUAAUGAACAGAGCCUACAUGUUGCAGAGGUUUUAUCCACCACUCUAAUAUGCUAUCAGUAAUGAACAGAGCCUACAUUUGGAGAAGUUUUAUCCACCACUCUAAUAUGCUAUCAGUAAUGAACAGAGCCUACAUGUUGCAGAGGUUUUAUCCACCACUCUAAUAUGCUAUCAGUAAUGAACAGAGCCUACAUUUGGAGAAGUUUUAUCCACCACUCGUCGGCAAUCCCCGUUAUUGUUUACAGGGAACCUGAAAUGUUCCCAGACGGCAGACAUGCAUGAUACUGGGGCGUCUUCUAGUUCUGGCUCGCCAAAGCUUGCCAUGUUGCUCCUUUGCAUUUAGCUAGCUGCUAAUUCCUUCAUACGCGAAAUGCUGCUACGACGGUCUCUGCAGACAACUAUAACAACUUUAUUACUAUGUGGAUAUUUUUCCCACGUUAAUUUAUACGCAAUUGGUUUAUGCAAUAAUAUAUUUUUUACAAUUAUAUAUAUUUUCCUAGCUAUAAUAUAUGAUUCAUGUAUUAUUCGGUUCGUAGUGCGUACCGAACCGUGCACCCUGUACAGAACGGUUCAAUACGAAUAGACAUACCGUUUCACCCCAAGUAUUUAUCAAUGUGUCUAUUAUCGGGUAG